UACGGAGGGUGCAAGCGUUAAUCGGAAUUACUGGGCGUAAAGGGCACGCAGGCGGAUAUUUAAGUGAGAGGUGAAAUCCCCGGGCUUAACCUGGGAAUUGCCUUUCAGACUGGGAAUCUAGAGUACUUGAGGGAGGGGUAGAAUUCCGCGUGUAGAGGUGAAAUGCGUAGAGAUGUGGAGGAAUACCGAAGGCGAAGGCAGC
rnacentral:rRNA from 1 species